rnacentral:rRNA from 1 species
AAAGGGUCCGUAGGCGGAUCUGUAAGUCAGUGGUGAAAUCUCAUAGCUUAACUAUGAAACUGCCAUUGAUACUGCAGGUCUUGAGUAAGGUAGAAGUAGCUGGAAUAAGUAGUGUAGCGGUGAAAUGCAUAGAUAUUACUUAGAACACCAAUUGCGAAGGCAGGUUACUAUGUCUUAACUGACGCUGAUGGACGAAAGCGUGGGGAGCGAACAGGAUUAGAUACCCGAGU